rnacentral:rRNA from 1 species
AUUAAACGCUGGCGGCAUGCCUUACACAUGCAAGUCGAACGGUAGCGCGGGGCAACCUGGCGACGAGUGGCGAACGGGUGAGUAAAGCAUCGGAACGUGCCCUGGAAUGGGGGAUAACGUAGCGAAAGUUACGCUAAUACCGCAUAUUCUGUGAGCAGGAAAGCAGGGGAUCGCAAGACCUUGCGUUCUGGGAGCGGCCGAUGUCGGAUUAGCUAGUUGGUGGGGUAAAAGCCUACCAAGGCGACGAUCCGUAGCGGGUCUGAGAGGAUGAUCCGCCACACUGGGACUGAGACACGGCCCAGACUCCUACGGGAAGCAGCAGUGGGGAAUUUUGGACAAUGGGCGGAAGCCUGAUCCAGCCAUGCCGCGUGAGUGAAGAAGGCCUUC